rnacentral:lncRNA from 1 species
AUGGCCUUCUUCAAAUGGUUCAUCUUCGCCGCCGUCGUCGUUGUUGCCGCCGCUGAAUACGGAUCUUCCGGAUACGGACACGGAUCUUCCGGAUACGGACACGGAUCUUCCGGAUCUUCUGGAUACGGUUCCUCUUCAUACGGUCACGGAUCUUCCGGAUCUUCUGGAUACGGUUCCUCCUCAUACGGACACGGUUCUUCCGGAUACGGACAUGGAUCAUCCGGAUACGGAUCUUCUUCAUACGGACACGGCGAACCCGCCGUCUCCUACCAGAACGUGAACCUUUACCCACAACAACAACACGGCUACUCCGCUCCCAGCUACGGACACUCCGCUCCCAGCUACGGACACUCCGCUCCCAGCUACUCCUCUCAUGGAUCCAGCUACUCAGCUCCCAGCUACUCCUCUCAUGGAUCCAGCUACUCUGCUCCCAGCUACUCUCAUGGCUCCAGCUACUAAGAGUGCACUUCAUCACUACCCAUCCAUCCACAUCUCUCUUAAUUUAUUUCACCCCCAUCCACUUCAAACAUUUUAAUUUAUUGAACCAUCCAAAAUUCAAAAAUAAAAAUCCGAAAGCUCAUACAACGUCUUUUUCAAUUUCUCUUACACGAAGAAAGCAUGAAACGAAAGUUCGUGCCUUUAAACUAAACAUUUAUGCAUAGGAAAACCGAAUGUUUUUUACCAUGCUGAGAGCUCGUUUUAGAGAAAAUAUUUGUGUCUGUAUUUUUAAAAAAACCAAAAAAAAGGAGAACAAACAAAAUAGAAUUGAUGCGCAUCUUUUAUACUUAGAGACAAUAUAUUUUAGAUGGAACUAACAAUCUAAGCAAUGUAAUGUAACGAAACAAAGGGUAACAUUUGAGGAUCAAAACUAUUUUUCGUCUGAUGGUGAUUAAUGAGCAACUUGUGGAGCAACGUGCAAAUAAAAUUGUCCUCUUGAUAAAUGCCAGGGUGAGCACUUUACUGGACUAGUUUUUUGCAAAAUAAAGAGCUGGUUGUUUGGCCAAGUUUUAACAUGGAUCCCUUCAAAGAAGAGCAGACCGCUCUCCUUUGAGGUUCAUCGAUGAAAGCACUUUGCUGACCAGCCACCACUUUGGAGCUUCACUUUGAACUUGAGGUCAGCCCUUUCGGUUAGGAUUGCUGAACCACUUGCUAAACUCUUUGGUCAUCAGUCAUCAUUAGAUGAAUCAGAGCGUUGACUUCCGAAAGUAAAAUUACACCAUAGAAAAACUAGUACAGUGGUCUUUUGAGUCUUUGAAAUACAUUGUCUCUCAUUCCAAACGAAGGCAAAUCCCUAUUAUCAAAAAACAUUAUGGUACAUUUAUAUGCCAUUUUCAAUUAAAUUACAUUUAGAAAGCCGCUAUUUCCAACUCAUAUAUGGAAA